GCGCGGGUGGCGAAAUUGGUAGACGCGCACGUUUGAGGGGCGUGUCCCUUCACUGGGAUGUGGGUUCAACUCCCACCCCGCGCA
rnacentral:tRNA from 1 species